GAUGAACGCUAGCUACAGGCUUAACACAUGCAAGUCGAGGGGAAACGAUAUUGGAAGCUUGCUUCUGAUAGGCGUCGACCGGCGCACGGGUGAGUAACGCGUAUCCAACCUGCCCAUCACUUGGGGAUAACCUUGUGAAAGUAAGACUAAUACCCAAUGACGUCUCUAGAAGACAUCUGAAAGAGAUUAAAGAUUUAUCGGUGAUGGAUGGGGAUGCGUCUGAUUAGCUUGUUGGCGGGGUAACGGCCCACCAAGGCGACGAUCAGUAGGGGUUCUGAGAGGAAGGUCCCCCCACAUUGGAACUGAGACACGGUCCAAACUCCUACGGGAGGCAGCAGUGAGGAAUAUUGGUCAAUGGACGAGAGUCUGAACCAGCCAAGUAGCGUGCAGGAUGACGGCCCUAUGGGUUGUAAACUGCUUUUAUAAGGGAAUAAAGUGAGUCUCGUGAGACUUUUUGCAUGUACCUUAUGUAAUAAGGACCGGCUAAUUCCGUGCCAGCA
rnacentral:rRNA from 1 species